rnacentral:tRNA from 2 species
GCGGGCGUAAUUCAGUGGUAGAAUGUCGGCUUCCCAAGCCGAAUGCCGUGGGUUCGAAUCCCAUCGCCCGCU